AGCGAACGCUGGCGGCAGGCCUAACACAUGCAAGUCGAACGGAUCCUUCGGGAUUAGUGGCGGACGGGUGAGUAACACGUUGGAACGUGCCCUUUGGUUCGGAACAACUCAGGGAAACUUGAGCUAAUACCGGAUGUGCCCUUCGGGGGAAAGAUUUAUCGCCAUUGGAGCGGCCCGCGUCUGAUUAGCUAGUUGGUGAGGUAACGGCCCACCAAGGCGACGAUCAGUAGCUGGUCUGAGAGGAUGAUCAGCCACACUGGGACUGAGACACGGCCCAGACUCCUACGGGAGGCAGCAGUGGGGAAUCUUGCGCAAUGGGCGAAAGCCUGACGCAGCCAUGCCGCGUGAAUGAUGAAGGUCUUAGGAUUGUAAAAUUCUUUCAGCGGGGACGAUAAUGACGGUACCCGCAGAAGAAGCUCCGGCUAACUUCGUG
rnacentral:rRNA from 1 species